GCAAACUUGGUCAUUUAGAGGAAGUAAAAGUCGUAACAAGGUUUCCGUAGGUGAACCUGCGGAAGGAUCAUCAAAAAAUUUUUUUGAACUUUUUUUAUGGAUCAAAAAAAAUCCAUAAAUUCACCUUGUGUGCAACUACUGAAAAAAGGUAGCCUUUUGGGAGAUUGGGAUUUUUCUGAUUCACAUAUCUCCCAAAAGGUAUUCAAUCUACAAUUUUUUUUAUGACUAAAAAAUUGAUUAAUUAAUAAAAAAGAUAACUUUCAACAACGGAUCUCUUGGCUCUCGCAUCGAUGAAGAACGCAGC
rnacentral:misc_RNA from 1 species